rnacentral:rRNA from 1 species
UCUUAACUGGGCGUCUAGUAUGUUAAUGCAGACCCGAAACCGGGUGACCUAUCCAUGGGCAGGUUGAAGUUACCGUAAAAGGUAAUGGAGGACCGAACUCACAUCUGUUGAAAAAGGUGGAGAUGACCUGUGGAUAGCGGAGAAAUUCCAAUCGAACUCGGAGAUAGCUGGUUCUCCUCGAAAUAGCUUUAGGGCUAGCCUUGAGGUAAAGUCUAAUGGAGGUAAAGCACUGAUUGGACGCGGGUCCCCAAAAGGAUACCAACUUCUAUCAAACUCAGAAUGCCAUAUAGAUAUACUCAGGAGUCAGACUAUGUGAGAUAAGUUUCAUAGUCAAAAGGGAAAGAGCCCAGACCGACAGCUAAGGUCCCAAAGUGUGUGUUAAGUGGAAAAGGAUGUUAGGUUUCUAAGACAACUAGGAUGUUGGCUCAGAAGCAGCCACUCAUUUAAAGAGUGCGUAACAGCUCACUAGUCGAGAGGUCUAGCGCCGAAAAUGUCCGGGGCUAAAACACACCACCGAAGCUACGGAAUUACCUAUGGUAAUUGGUAGAGGAGCAUUCUGUAAGGAUGAAGCACAAUUGAAAGAGAGUGUGGACGAAACAGAAGAGAGAAUGCCGGAAUGAGUAGCGAGAUAUAUGUGAGAAUCAUAUAGGUCGAAUGUCUAAGGUUUCCUGGGUAAAGCUGAUCUGCUCAGGGUAAGUCGGGACCUAAGGUGAGGGCGAGAGCCGUAAUCGAUGGACAACAGGUAGAAAUUCCUGUACUACGUAUAAUCAGAACUGUGGGGACGCAGGAGGAUAGGAAAACCGGAGAAUGGAAAAAUCCGGCUAAGUACAAAGGUGUGAGUGAUAGGCAAAUCCGUCACUAUUAGCUGAAGUACGAAUGGGAGCGAAGAAAAGUAGCGAAGUUUCUGAAUCCACACUGUCAAGAAAAGCCGCUAUUGCGUUAUAUGUACCCGUACCGCAAACCGACACAGGUAGACGAGGAGAAAAUCCACAGACCGACGGGAGAAGUGUUGUUAAGGAACUCGGCAAAAUGACCCCGUAACUUAGGGAUAAGGGGAGCCAACGCAAGUUGGUCACAGAAAAGAGGCUCAAGCGACUGUUUAGCAAAAACAUAGGUCUAUGCGAAACCGUAAGGUGAUGUAUAUGGGCUGACACCUGCCCGGUGCUGGAAGGUCAAAAGGAGAGGUUAGCGCAAGCGAAGCCUUGAAUUCAAGCCCCAGUAAACGGCGGCCGUAACUAUAACGGUCCUAAGGUAGCGAAAUUCCUUGUCAGGUAAGUUCUGACCCGCACGAAAGGUGUAACGAUUUGAGCACUGUCUCGAC